CGGCCACAUUGGGACUGAGACACGGCCCAGACUCCUACGGGAGGCAGCAGUGGGGGAUAUUGCACAAUGGGGGAAACCCUGAUGCAGCGAUGCCGCGUGGAGGAAGAAGGUUUUCGGAUUGUAAACUCCUGUCGUAAGGGAAGAGGAAGGACUGUACCUUACAAGAAAGCUCCGGCUAACUACGUGCCAGCAGCCGCGGUAAUACGUAGGGAGCGAGCGUUGUCCGGAAUUACUGGGUGUAAAGGGAGCGUAGGCGGGAUCGCAAGUCAGAUGUGAAAACUAUGGGCUUAACCCAUAAACUGCAUUUGAAACUGUGGUUCUUGAGUGAAGUAGAGGUAAGCGGAAUUCCUAGUGUAGCGGUGAAAUGCGUAGAUAUUAGGAGGAACACCAGUGGCGAAGGCGGCUUACUGGACGGUAACUGACGCUGAGGCUCGAAAGCGUGGGGAGCAAACAGGAUUAGAUACCCUGGUAGUCCACGCCGUAAACGAUGAUUACUAGGUGUGGGGGGACUGACCCCUUCCGUGCCGCAGCAAACGCAAUAAGUAAUCCACCUGGGGAGUACGACCGCAAGGUUGAAACUCAAAGGAAUUGACGGGGGCCCGCACAAGCAGUGGAGUAUGUGGUUUAAUUCGACGCAACGCGAAGAACCUUACCAAGUCUUGACAUCCUGCGACGAACAUAGAAAUAUGUUUUUCCUUCGGGACGCAGAGACAGGUGGUGCAUGGUUGUCGUCAGCUCGUGUCGUGAGAUGUUGGGUUAAGUCCCGCAACGAGCGCAACCCUUACUGUUAGUUGCUACGCAAGAGCACUCUAGCAGGACUGCCGUUGACAAAACGGAGGAAGGUGGGGAUGACGUCAAAUCAUCAUGCCCCUUAUGACCUGGGCCUCACACGUACUACAAUGGCUGUCAACAGAGGGAAGCAAAGCCGCGAGGUGGAGCGAACCCCUAAAAGCAGUCUUAGUUCGGAUUGUAGGCUGCAACCCGCCUACAUGAAGUCGGAAUUGCUAGUAAUCGCAGAUCAGCAUGCUGCGGUGAAUACGUUCCCGGGCCUUGUACACACCGCCCGUCACGCCAUGGGAGUCGGUAACACCCGAAGCCUGUAGUCUAACCGCAAGGAGGACGCAGUCGAAGGUGGGAUUGAUGACUGGGGUGAAGUCGUAACAAGGUAGCCGUAUCGGAAGGUGCGGCUG
rnacentral:rRNA from 1 species